GCUGCCAAAACUAGUAUACCCAUUAAAAUCAAAGAGUUGGGUGGAGCUGAUGACACAACCUCAAUGCAUCAAAAUCAAAGUCGAAUGUUUGCUCUUCGGCCAACACCAGUGAUGUUACAACAUUUCUUGAGACCGAAACGCGCUCCAACUUGUAUCGAAGAAGGGCCAACGCCAAUUUGCAUAAGACAACCGCCCAGCAACAAAUACGAGUGUGCAUUUAUUAAUUUCUGAUUGAACUUCCCCCAGUUGGAAUUGAUAUGGUCAAACCAGAUCUGCACACUUGAAGGAAAAUCUCAUGGGGUAAGGCAUUGCGAUAAUGCAUGUGGGCGAUGCGAUGUCAUUGGCACUGAGAAAAACUCUGUUUACCUUAAAAGACUAAUAUUAUGGUUUGAAGGUGUCAAAAUCUAUCUCGGUUAUUGACUAGUUUUAGCAAGUGUUAAACUUGUUUCUCACACAUAUCAAGCGAUGAAGGGGAAUUACCCCUCUAUCUUUAAUAUACCAAAAAUAUCGUUUAUUUAACAUUUCAUGGGUUAGUGGGCCACUGUUAUGAU